CACAGUGCCGCUCCCUGAGGACGUGGUGCCUUUUGAUGCUGCCUCGGAGACGCCGGUGGAGGAGCAGCGCGCGGCGGCUCUGCUGCGCAUCCAGGAGUGCCUGCGGGAGGGGAGGGCACCCCAGGCCCUGCGGCUGCUGCGCUCUGCCAGGGAAGUGUGGCCUGAAGGGGACGUUUUUGGCCCCCCGGCGCGGAGCCCCCCGAGGAGACGCAGCUGCUGCGGGAGAUCUGCUUCGCUGCUCUGCCCCGGCCCACCCCCUCCCCCGAGGCCUGAGGAGCCCGGAGG